CCUCCCGGUGACACCUGCCUCCAUGGGGCGGGGCUAUGGAGCCGGUGGGUGUGGCUUCUACCCGGGGGGCGGGGCUUAGAGAACAGCUGGGGCGUGGUUGGGUGAUGCUCUAUGAGGGGGCGUGGCUUAUUUGGAGGGGGCGGGGCCUAGAGGCCAGGCCCCCAGUGCUGCGGGGGUGGGGGGGGGUAUGUGUUAUCCAUGCCCCGCCCCUUCUGGGGUGUGUGGGCGGGGCCUGAGGAGCCACGUGGCCCCUUCCCGCCCCCCCGCAGGCGGCCAUGGAGUCCCCAGGGCGUCACCCGGGCGGCGACGAGGAGGAGGAGGAGGAGGAGGAGGAAGAAGAGGAGGAGGCCGAGGCCGUGGUGUCCCCGCGUCGCCCCGAGGAGGUGACGGUGGCCACGGCGUCCCCGUGUCACCCCGAGGAGGAGGAGGAGGUCACAUCUCACCUGGAGGAGAAGGAGGCCAUGAGGUCCCCGUGUCACCCCGAGGAGAAGGUGGAGGCCGUGGCGUCCCCGCGUCACUCCAAGGAGGAGGCCACCGUGUCUCCGUGUCACCCUGAGGAGGAGGAGGAGGCCCCGUGUCACCCCAAGGAGGAAGAGGAGGAGGAGGAGGAGGCCGCACAUCACCCCAAGGAGGAGAAAGAGGCCACAUCUCAUCUUGAGGAGAAGGUGGAGGCCACGGUGUCCCCACGUCACCCCAAGGAGGAGGAGAAGGAGACCACAUCUCACCUCGAGGAGAAGGUGGAGGCCACGGCGUCCCCACGUCACCCCAAGGAGGAGGAGGAGGAGGUCACGUCUCAUCUUGAGGAGAAGGUGGAGGCCACGAUGUCCCCGUGUCACUCUGAGGAGAAGGAGGAGGCCACGUCUCACCGUGAGGAGAAGGUGGAGGCCCCAGCAUCCCCAUGUCACCCUGAGGAGAAGGAGGAGGCCACGUCUCACCUUGAGGAGAAGGAGGAGGCCACGUCUCACCUUGAGGAGAAGGUAGAGGCCAUGGUGUCCCCAUGUCACCCUGAGGAGAAGGUGGAGGCCACGUCUCACCCUGAGGAGAAGGAGGAGGCCACAUCUCACCUCGAGGAGAAGGUGGAGGCCACAUCUCACCCUGAGGAGAAGGUGGAGGCCACAUCUCACCUCGAGGAGAAGGCGGAGGCCACGUCUCACCUUGAGGAGAAGGUGGAGGCCACGUCUCACCGUGAGGAGGAGGAGGCCACGUCUCACCUUGAGGAGAAGGUGGAGGCCACGUCUCACCGUGAGGAGAAGGUGGAGGCCAUGUCUCACCCCGAGGAGAAGGUGGAGGCCACGUCUCACCCCGAGGAGAAGGUGGAGGCCGCGGCGUCCCCGCGCCGCCCCGAGGAGGAGGAUGAUGAUGAUGAGGAGGAGGCGGUGGCGGUGGCCGGGUGGCCGCGGGGCGGUGGGGCG
rnacentral:lncRNA from 1 species